rnacentral:rRNA from 1 species
CCUGGCGGCGAUAGCGCGGUGGUCCCACCUGACCCCAUGCCGAACUCAGAAGUGAAACGCCGUAGCGCCGAUGGUAGUGUGGGGUCUCCCCAUGUGAG